ensembl:lncRNA
GUAUCAACAACUGCUUGCUUGGAUGGUUUUUAUUUAAUAGUGUUUUGAAAAGCAUAUGGAGAAGAUUUCUACUGUGGUACAUUUAACUCAGAAAUGUGUUGUGCCUGGAGGAAGGAGCUUUUAGGAGUUACGGUGCUUUGUAUCUGUGAAGUGUGCUGGUGGAGGGAUGUGCAUUUGGGCUCUUGUUUUAUUGUAAUCUUCGGAGCCUGUGGCUGGCUUGUACCUUGAUGGGGAUCUCGGUUUGUACGCAGGCAGGGCUCGGUGCAAGUUCUAUUUGGUAGAAUUUUUGCUCAAGGCUUUGAGUUUUAUAACAUUUUUUAUGACAUUUGCUCUUUGGAGCAGUAUCUGCAAUACGUUCGCUUUCCUUUACUCCAAGCUCCAGCAAUCACCCUAAAAAGGAAAUUCAUGCUUGAAAUCUCUGUAGGCUAAAAAAGCGUACUCGGCCUGGUUAGAAAUCUGAGUUCCCAAGGCAGGCUGAAGAAAGCAAUGCCUUCACGACACGGCAGAAAGCCGUCCUGCCCCGAGGCUCUUCCUGAUGGAGCAGCAUCCCUACCCAUCGCCUGGUGCUCUGCGAGGGCUUCCAAUCGGAUCUGGCGGCUUUGUUCUGCUCGAUAGCGCCGUAAUGGGUCGUUUCUCCGACCUGCGCCGCGUGGGUAACAGAGGGGUCACGGAGGCUCCCACGUUAAGUCACCGGGGGUAGGAAUGAGACUCCAGAAGGCAGCUACACUGUUGCCAUUGAAGCCUGCUAGCCAGAGCUUCGCCAGCAGAGCUCAUUCGCUGGACUUCUUCCCCAGAGCACGUUUUUAUUCUCUUGUCGGCUUUUUGCUGCGUGUCUCUGUCUUUUUACGAGCAGCGCUGCAGGCUGUGCCCGUGACACUGCCUUCCAGCACCGCUCCUUCCGUCCGCACGGCUGCUCCGCGCACAUCUGCCUGCACUGAGCGUCGGGGGACGGAUUCCUUUCAGCUCCGUCCCUCCGAGAAAAAACAUUUUGCCUUCUACUGCCCUGAGAUGAAUGAACUACAGAUUACUCCCACCAAGUUGUACUGAAACACUCUUGUAAUGAUACAAAAUACUACAAAAUACUGCACUGAAAGAAACCGGCCAGGCGCCAUGUAUACCAAUUCAAGCAUGGAGAAAUGGAGGCUGCUCACCAGUGGCUGGGUCUGCAAGAGACACAGCGCUGAUGCUGGCAAGUUUCAUAGUAAUGACUACUACAGACAGCUCUGGGUAGAUUUGGUAGUGGAUAACAGGUCACCACAUAAUUCCUUCUCCAGUAGGGAUCGUCCAGAUGAAAUCAAUAGGAGUGAAGCUGCAUACAGUUGCAAGAACAAUUUUCAGGUACUGUGGAUCAUGGAUCUCUCAUUUUUUUCUGGAUAUUCAAAACAAAACAAAACAAAAAACAAAAAACAAACAAACAACAAACAAAAAACAACAACAAAAAAAAACGGAGGCUCUGAAAGCACCCCAGCCCCCCUGCUUCUCUCCUUAACUUCCUUGUGUCCUCAGCUGCAGUUAGGACUCUCAGGGGAGAACUUGUAUUCACUUAAUGCAGACUUGACUCAGCAAAAUGCGAUGAGGCACUGGCCAGACACUCCGUGAGUCCAUUUCAGAGAGCUAUGAGGGAACAGCCCCCUCUUCCUCCUCCUUAGGUGCCCCUGCAGAUUCCUGCUCCAGAAUCGGCUGGAUAACGGUACCAUUGGCUGGGAGGAAGUGCUUCAUAUGGUCUGGCCACACUGUCCAAGGAACACUGGAUCCCCUCAGAGAAGCAUGACCCUUCCCAUGACUUCUUGGAAAUGGUGGAUCUCUGUAAUGAAACUGCACAUUUACCUUUUAUAUACCAUCUAGGAAAACACAGCAAAAGCCAUAUGGCUCAAGAAGACAUCUCCUAUAAUUAGAUAUCACUUAGCACGGUACCUAAUUGUACGGAUGCAGAGCCUACAUCUGUUGGAACUGGGCGUAGCAUGAAAUGUCAAAUGCAGAUUUAGAUGCGAGUAGGACUGCAAAGGGGAAAUUAAGCAUCUUUGACAUUCUUUUAAUUGAGAGAGAAAGAACUUUCUGAUGAGUUUGUGAAGAUUCUGAUGGGGAAGAGCAAAUGUUUGAAGAAAUCUGAAUCUUUUCCCAGCAGGAAGGUGGAAUAAAAAGUACUUGGAGUACUUGUUACCUAUCUCCCCAUAUCACUCCCCCACAGAGCAGCAGAUUUCUACUCCUAGCUGGUAAAUAUAUUUUUAGUAGAUGCUGUUGGAACAAGAAGGUCCAAAUGAAUCCUCAAAUACUUUUCUUGGUUAAGGAAUUUCCCAUGUUGUGAUCUUGGCUAUUCUCUCAAAACAUUUGGGAAGCCAGCUCUGAUGAAUUAAAAGCAUCUGACCUGAUGUAUGACAUUCUAUAUACUCUAUGUCAAUUAAGUAAAAAAUUAAGUCAAACUUAAGCAUCUACCUGAAGCUGUCUGCCAUGGAAAUUCUUUGUUGUCGUCAUAGUAGGGAUUUGCAUAAGCUGUAUGGCUUGGGUUUAUUUUGAAUAAAGAGGAAAGAAGAACUAAGAGAUCACUGAGUACACAUCUUCUGAAAGCACAGAAUGAGAUGGGGUAAUGUUAUCAUGCUUGGAACUAAAACUCUGACUGAAAAGAGAAUCAUUAAUAUUUCCUUUCUGUGAAGCUGUCAUCCAUGUUGGAUAUAGCCAUAGCAGCUAAGAAUAACACUGGUCAGACAACUGGACAUGGUAACCUCUUCAGUCCCUUUCAAUAAAUAGGAGAAAGACCAAGCCUGCAGCUGCUGGUCCAGCACAGUACUUCUUAGCUGAGCCACUGCUGCUUGCAGUUUGCUGACACACCGGGAUCUGACAGCAGCCACGGCGGCAGCAAUCUCCUGGGGAGGGACGAGGGGGACAGCCACAGGCAUAACCAAGGGAUCAGGAAUCUAGGCCAAGCCCAUGACUUUGUGACCUUCCUAAUCUUUAAAAAUAGCUUUAUGCAUGUGUGUGUAUACAAGCGUAUGCUAUGUAAUGACAGAUAUACGCUACAAAUGUUAUAUGAAAUUGCUCUGCAUGUUAUUUAAUGCCCUGAAAUGCAGGAAAAGCCAGUGCAGGAGAGACAUGCUGAGCUCUUGUGUGGUAGGACAUGGGAAACAGCAGUGAGCAGCAAGAAAAAGAACGCACAGCAGAACUUACAUAACGUUCCCUUUUCAGUUCAGCUAUGGGUUUUGCUCUAGCACAUCUGGUGAUCCCUGGCUGGCUGGAUACCGUUUAGUAUUUUCUUCUACUCAUGAAGAACGGCCUGUUUGUGGAAUCUGGCACUUCAGUCUAGGCUGUCUCAGCAACGGACAGGUCUGUCUGUUGUUUUUAUUCUCCAGUCUUGCCCGAGUCAACAGAGCAGGUAAUCCUUAACUAUACCACAGGAAAGUGACUGUGAAAAGAGCACCAAAAAUGUUUGUUUAGGAUUCAUAUCAGCAUGCAUCCUUUUGAGAAGAAUGGAGACCCGAGCAAUGUUUAUGUCCUUAAAAUGCAUUUUCAGGGGCUGUAAAACUAAUGUAGUGCAUCUCCAUUAAAGAGAAAAUGUGACUGAUUCUGAUUGACUCAGACUGAGACUACAUUGUAGUUAAAAUGCCUCAGAACAAACUCUGAAAAACAGCUGCUUGUAAGUUGUUUUUUUCACACCAGACGAAUUAACAGCAGAUGCAAACAUCUUUCAGACCUUCUGGAAGUAACAUUGAAGCAACCAACAGUGUUAAGACUAAAAAUGUCAGAGACCCUAUAAAUACUCUUUAGGAGCAGAGCAGUCUUUACAGAACAAUCAUCAACAAAAGAUAAAACAGUCUAAGGUUAAACACACAAGUAUAGAAGUCCUGCAUUCAAGGUGAAGAGUGCUAUUGUAGUGAAGAGCUUUUUUAAUUUGCCAAUUAAUCUUGCUUGUAAAAUCAGCAAUUAAUCCUGUGAAAUUCUUGUCAUUAUUCAGAAUAAAUGGCAUGGCACUGAAGUAGCGUUAUUAAUAACAACCAAGCAAAUCUCUUCUAGCCUCCUUGUCAAGAUGCUGCAACGAUGAAUCCAAAAUACAAGCACAUCUGGCUGCAGGAACAAACAUCAAGUUUUUAAUUAUACAUCUUUGUGGGAAAAGGUUUUCACAGUUAACCUCCCUUAAGAAUGUCCAAAUGUUUUAUAAAGACUUGAAUGGAUUACAAAUACUAAAAACAAGAACAUUUUUAAAGGUAUAACAAAGGCUUUUGUUGCUUUUGAUGUUGUGUGAUACAUGAUAGGAGGUAAAAAUCCACAGAUAUAUGGCCUUAUCAGGGAACAGUGUUUAAAGAUACUACGCAAAAAUGACAUUAAUUGCAAGCAAGGCAACAAAUUGCAGGACUUUUCACCCUACAACACUGAGAGUAAAAGUUGGAGCUAACUUAAUUACACAGAGAGAUGAAGUCAUCUCCAUAAACCUCAAUAAUGUCAUGACAGGAAACCCAUGAUGCUGACUGGACUGAUGUCAAGAACAGGAGAACCUACGUGAGAUGCCUGCAAGGUGUACAGCUGUAGGUGCCUCACGCUCUGCUGACAAGAUCCCUACCAGCUCCAAAGGCAGACUGAAGUGACUGUAGAGGGCUUUACAUGUGAGCUGGAGGCAGGCACCACUGGAAAGAGUCUGGCUCCAUUGCCUUUGCAUCCUCCCCUCCAGUAUUUAUGGACAUUGGUAAGAUCUUCCCCCCCACUUCCUUCUGGUCACCCCUGCACCUUUCUAGCUCUUCACCUGACCUAACCUGCAGAGCACCUGCAGAGCUUCAAGCAACGCUGUUCUCUACCUGUCCCCCACCUGGUUUGGGGCAUGCAGAAGAUGUCUUGGAAAUGCUGGGUGUAAUUCAUCUUUCCUCUGGAAGCACAGUAGUCACUGAGUUCCUCUAGGAUAUUAAAACCCAAGGUUCAAUUCUAUCCUCUCGUCAAAGAAAGUUGAAUCAUCAGCACUCAUAAGCUGAUUCACCUCCCUAAAGACAAUGAAUGCUAUUUGUUUUCUAUAUCAUAAUUUAAAAUAGUCAUUGAACUGGAGAAAGAUUGUUUUAUAGCCCAGUGGCCAGAACAUUCAUCCAAGGGGUGAGAGGAGCAGAGGGUAUUUCAUAGUACUUCUCUUGAGAUGACGCAGUCCUUGUCCUUCCUUUACUUACACUGUCAGACCACACCAAUAUGCGAGUACGAGAGUUCUUCAGAACUCCUCAGGCCCAGUGACAAAGGAUAUUGUCUGCCAUGGACAUUUCCAUUCAAACAAUAAGAAGGAUCUGAUAAAGGGAAUUUUCAAACCUCUGGGGUCUCGGAAACCACAGGACCACCUCUGCAUGCUCUGAUCUAAGCUUUUAAUACUUGGGUUACACAAACGUUUUCAAUUUGAUUCCGUAUAGAAUCGUUUAGCUUUUUAUUUCCAUGAGGGAAAAAAACAUAAUUAUUUGGAUGGAUCUGAACUACUUUUUUCCGUGUUUGAUUUUGCAACCAAAAAAUUCCUGAUAUGCAUAACACAUGAGAACUAUAAUUGCUUUCCAAUUCCUUAUCAGCACAUGAUCAUCCUCGCACUGAAACGCUACUCCCAGCUCCAGUACACCAACCUCCAACAUCUUUACACUAGGUUUUACACAGCUCUAAUGUGCCAAGGAUUUGAUCUGUGCAUUUGACUUUCAAUUAUAAUACUGUCCAUUGUAACACCAUAUGUCUGUAUCUACCAGACUGACCCUUAUGUUGCCAAAUAUGAGAAUCAGACCGAUUAAGUUGAGCUCACCAAUGCUUCAGCUCAAACUUCAGAGAGAAACUACUACAGUAUCUGUAUUUCUUCUUAUAGUAUUGAAUGACAAUUUGUUGAGAGCUUGUAAGCAAAAUUAGACUUCUACUUAUAUUCAUCGGCUUGAUUUAGUAGACUUAAUAUAUAUUCUCUUCUGGUUUCCUUUAUGUUAGUUCUGUAUAUUCAGAAUACAUGUUGCAAGCUCCAAAACCAUUACAGCUCCAAAACAACAGCUUCCCUGUAUGUACUGGUAAACAAUCCCUGCAGAAGUACUGCAUGCUUUGCAGUGACAAAAAAACAAAUGACAAACAAGACAUAACAGGUGAAUGGCAUCCAACAUUACCAUGCAUUAAAAAAGUGCAUGUAUAUAAGUAAGAAGAGAAUGCACUAAUAUAAUUAAGAAAUGGUCUUUUAACUUGGGAUUUAAAGAGCAGAGCGGGCCAGCUGUACAGAUAGCAAAAUGAAGAAGAGAACUCCACACGAGAGCCAAAUGAGCAAUCACACAAACCUGCGAGGCAGCAAACUGCACAGGGGGUGGGGAGCAGAACUAAAUCAGAAACAGAGAGUAUGUUGCAGAAGGAAAUAAACGUGAACCAUAUGGAAGAAUAUUCACAACACAUUAGUGUUUAAUUAGAUAAUAUAAUGGAUAAGGACACUUCUGCAGCGUCAUCAUAAACAAAGAUGAAUGGAAAAUGUGCUACUAAUAAAAACGGGUAAUGCAACUGCACUACAACUGUAAUUUGAUCAGUCACAAAUUUAAAAUAAAAAUAAUAUUUUGAUAUGAUAUUUUGCUACUGCAUCUAGUCGUAGAAAAGGAAGCACAGAAGCAGACAUUCUCAUCUGAGGUUCCAGAUACUUCAAAAGCAGAGCAAAAAAGUCCCCACAACUGCUUGCAAUCUGGCCCUUGCACCCAGACUGGCAUCCCCAUGUCAUUGUGAACACACACAGGGCGCCUUUUGGAGAAAAAGCA